GACGAACGCUGGCGGCGUGCCUAAUACAUGCAAGUCGAACGCAGUGGGGACGGGUGAGUAACACGUGGGUAACCUCCCAUCAGAGGGGAUAACACUUGGAAACAGGUGCUAAACCGAUACUGAUGGAUGGACCCGCGGUGCAUUAGCUAGUUGGUGAGGUAACGGCUCACCAAGGCCACGAUGCAUAGCCCACCUUAGAGGGUGAUCGAACACAUUGGUAUUGAGAGCCGGCACGGACUCCUACACGAGGCAGCAUUAGGGAAUGUUCUGCAAUGGACGAAAGUCUGACCGAGCAACGCCGCGUGAGUGAAGAAGGUUUUCGGAUCAUAAAACUCUGUUGUUAGAGAAGCGGUAUCUAACCAGAAAACCACGGCUAACUACGUGCCAGCAGCCGCGGUAAUAC
rnacentral:rRNA from 1 species